rnacentral:tRNA from 1 species
GGGGGUCUAGCUCAGAUGGUAGAGCACUUGCUUAGCAUGUGAGAGGCACUGGGAUCAAUACCCAGGUCCUCCA